AGGCAUCUUCUUAUUUUUAAAAGACCUAGCAAUAGGUAUGCUUAGGGAAGAGCUUGCGUCACAUUAGUUAGUUGGUGGGGUAAUGGCCUACCAAGACGAUGAUGUGUAGCCGGGCUGAGAGGUCGAACGGCCACAUUGGGACUGAGACACGGCCCAAACUCCUACGGGAGGCAGCAGUAAGGAAUUUUCGGCAAUGGAGGAAACUCUGACCGAGCAAUGCCGCGUGAACGAUGAAGUAUUUCGGUACGUAAAGUUCUUUUAUUAGGGAAGAAAAGAUGGUGGAAAAACCAUUAUGACGGUACCUAAUGAAUAANCCCCGGCUAACUAUGUGCCAGCAGCCGCGGNAAUACAUAGGGGGCAAGCGUUAUCCGGAAUUAUUGGGCGUAAAGGGUGCGUAGGCGGUUAAAUAAGUUUAUGGUCUAAGUGCAACGCUCAACGUUGUGAUGCUAUAAAAACUGUUUAGCUAGAGUUGGAUAGAGGCAAGUGGAAUUCCGUGUGUAGUGGUAAAAUGCGUAAAUAUACGGAGGAACACCAGAAGCGAAGGCGGCUUGCUGGGUCUUAACUGACGCUGAGGCACGAAAGCGUGGGGAGCAAACAGGAUUAGAUACCCUGGUAGUCCACGCCCUAAACGAUGAGUACUAAACGUUGGAUAAAACCAGUGUUGAAGUUAACACAUUAAGUACUCCGCCUGAGUAGUACGUACGCAAGUAUNAAACUUAAAGGAAUUGACGGGACUCCGCACAAGCGGUGGAUCAUGUUGUUUAAUUCGAAGGUACCCGAAAAACCUCACCAGGUCUUGACAUGCUUUUGCAAAGCUGUAGAAAUACAGUGGAGGUUAUCAGAAGCACAGGUGGUGCAUGGUUGUCGUCAGCUCGUGUCGUGAGAUGUUGGGUUAAGUCCCGCAACGAGCGCAACCCUUGUUGUUAAUUGCCAUCAUUAAGUUGGGGACUUUAGCAAGACUGCCAAUGAUAAAUUGGAGGAAGGUGGGGACGACGUCAAAUCAUCAUGCCCCUUAUGACCUGGGCUACAAACGUGAUACAAUGGCUGUUACAAAGGGUAGCUAAAGCGUAAGCUUCUGGCGAAUCUCAAAAAAGCAGUCUCAGUUCGGAUUGAAGUCUGCAACUCGACUUCAUGAAGUUGGAAUCGCUAGUAA
rnacentral:rRNA from 1 species